GCUCCAAUAGCGUAUAUUAAAGUUGUUGCAGUUAAAAAGCUCGUAGUUGGAUUUCUGGUGGGAGGGAACCGUCCGAUCUCAGAUUGGUGCGUGUUCCUCUCCGGCCAUCCUUGAGUCUAACCUCCUUGGCAUUAAGUUGUCGAGGUGGGGAUACUCAUCGUUUACUGUGAAUAAAUCAGAGUGUUCAUGGCAGGCCGUAU
rnacentral:rRNA from 1 species